rnacentral:rRNA from 1 species
GAUGAACGCUGGCGGCGUGCUUAACACAUGCAAGUCGAACGGAAAGGCUCCUGCUUGCCGGGGUUCUCGAGUGGCGCACGGGUGAGUAACACGUGGGUGUUCUGCCCUGCACUUCGGGAUAAGCCUUGGAAACUGGGUCUCAUACCGGAUAGGACGUUGGUUUGGAUGCCAUUGUGGAAUGUUUUUCGGUGUGGGAUGGGCUGGCGGCCUAUAAGCUUGUUGGUGGGGUAGUGGCCGACCAAGGCGUCGACGGGUAGCCGGCCUGGGAGGGUGUACGGCCACAUUGGGACUGAGAGACGGCGCAGAAGCGUACGGGAGGCAGCAGUGGGGAAUAUUGCACAAUGGGCGCAAGCCUGAUGCAGCGACGCCGCGUGGGGGAUGACGGCCUUCGGGUGGUAAACAACUGUCGCUAGGGACGAAGCGCAAGUGACGGUACCUGGAGAAGAAGCACCGGCUAACUACGUG